UACGUAGGGGGCGAGCGUUGUCCGGAUUCAUUGGGCGUAAAGAGCUCGUAGGCGGUUCAGUAAGUCAGGUGUGAAAUCUCCGCGCUCAACGCGGAGCGGCCACCUGAUACUGCUGUGACUCGAGUCCGGUAGGGGAGUGUGGAAUUCCCGGUGUAGCGGUGAAAUGCGCAGAUAUCGGGAAGAACACCCGUGGCGAAGGCGGGUCA
rnacentral:rRNA from 1 species